ensembl:rRNA 5S_rRNA 5S ribosomal RNA
AACCACAGCCAUAUCAGCCUGCAGCCCAAGACUGGUUGCCCACUGAAGCUAAUCAGGGUUGAGCCUAGUCAGUACCUGGAUGGGAGACCUCCUGGGAAAACUAGGUUGCUGUUGGAA